GAUGAACGCUGGCGGCGUGCCUAACACAUGCAAGUCGAGCGAAGCGAUCUGAUGGAAGUUUUCGGAUGGAAGUCAGAUUGACUGAGCGGGCGACGGGUGAAGGUAACGCGUGGUAACCUGCCUCAUACAGGGGGAUAACAGUUAGAAAUGGCUGCUAAUACCGCAUAAGCACACAGGACCGCAUGGUCCGGUGUGAAAAACUCCGGUGGUAUGAGAUGGACCCGCGUCUGAUUAGCUAGUUGGUAAGGUAACGGCUUACCAAGGCGACGAUCAGUAGCCGACCUGAGAGGGUGACCGGCCACAUUGGGACUGAGACACGGCCCAA
rnacentral:rRNA from 1 species